rnacentral:tRNA from 1 species
CAGAAAAUAGUUUAUUUAAAAUAAUAAUUUUGGAGAUUGUAGAUAAGGCUUCCUUUUUUCUGA